GUCUAUGGCCAUGCCACCCUGAACAAGCCCGAUCCCAUCUGAUCUCGGAAGCUAAGCAGGAUCGGGCCUGGUGAGUACUUGGAUGGGAGACCACCUAGGAAGACUAGGGGCUGUAGGCG
rnacentral:rRNA from 1 species